GACGAACGCUGGCGGCGUGCCUAACACAUGCAAGUCGAGCGAAUGAAGUUCCUUCGGAAAUGGAUUUAGCGGCGGACGGGUGAGUAACACGUUGGCAACCUGCCUCAUAGAGGGGAAUAGCCUUCCGAAAGGGAGAUUAAUACCGCAUAAGAUUGUAGUACCGCAUGGUACAGCAAUUAAAGGAGCAAUCCGCUAUGAGAUGGGCCCGCGGCGCAUUAGCUAGUUGGUGAGGUAACGGCUCACCAAGGCGACGAUGCGUAGCCGACCUGAGAGGGUGAUCGGCCACAGUGGGACGGAGACACGGCCCAGACUCCUACGGGAGGCAGCAGUGGGGAAUAUUGCACAAUGGGGGAAACCCUGAUGCAGCAACGCCGCGUGAGUGAUGACGGCCUUCGGGCUGUAAAGCUCUGUCUUCAGGGACGAUAAUGACGGUACCUGAGGAGGAAGCCACGGCUAACUACGUGCCAGCAGCCGCCGUAA
rnacentral:rRNA from 1 species